rnacentral:rRNA from 1 species
CCUGAACGCUGGCGGCGUGGCUAAGACAUGCAAGUCGCACGGAGCCGGGUAGCAAUACCCGGUUUAGUGGCGAACGGGUGAGUAAUGAAUCGCUAAUGUACCCCGGAUUCUGGGAUAGCCAGUCGAAAGGCUGGGUAAUACCAGAUGAUAUAACCGCUUCGCAUGAAGUGGUUCUCAAAGGAGCAAUCCGCUCUGGGAGCAGGCGAUUUCGUAUCAGCUUGNGGUGAGGUAACGGCUCACCAAGGCGACGACGCGUAGCCGGACUGAGAGGUUGGCCGGCCACAUUGGGACUGAGACACUGCCCAGACUCCGUACGGGGGCUGCAGUAACGAAUCUUCCGCAAUGCACGAAAGUGUGACGGAGCGACGCCGCGUGU